AUUGAACGCUAGCGGGAUGCUUUACACAUGCAAGUCGAACGAGUGGCGGACGGGUGAGUAAUAUAUCGGACCGUGCUCAGUAGCGGGGGGUAACUACUGGAAAUAAUGGCUAAUACCGCAUACUAUUGGUGCGGCCGAUAUCGGAUUAGAUAGUUGGUGGGGUAAAGGCUCACCAAGGCAGAGAUACGUAGAUGGUUUGAGAGGACGAACAGCCACACGGGGACUGAGACACGGCCCAGACGCCUACGGUAGGCAUCAGUGGGGUAUUUUGGACAAUGGGGGAAAACCUGAUCCAGCCAUCCCGCGUGUAUGAGAAGGCCUUCGGGUUGUAAAGUACGUUUGUGAGAGAGACGGUAUCUGCAGAAUAAGCACCGGCUAACUACGUGCCAGCAGCCGCGGUAAUAC
rnacentral:rRNA from 1 species